rnacentral:lncRNA from 1 species
AGCUGUUUCAGCUUUUGCGGGAAGCUGAAAACAGCUUUUGGGAGGAAGCUCCAAUUUGGAGCUUUUAGGAGGAAGCUGUUUCAGCUUUUUCGGAAAGCUGUAUUUUUGACAAAAAUGUCCAUAUUAAAAUAACAUAAUUACAUAGUUUAUCUCUGUAUAAACCUAAAAAUCUGCUGGAGCCAAGAACCCAAGCCGUCAGACUCCCUUCCGUAAGAAAAUGUAUUUUUCUUUUCAAUUUUUGUAUGC